rnacentral:lncRNA from 1 species
AUAUAAUAAGAGUUAACUUGUAUUACUUAACAUAUUCACUGUACAAAUACUAAGAUGAUAACUACUGUCAACAUGAUCGUUAACGAGAAUACAAAAUAGGUUUAAAAUGUCUUUAGUAUUAUAUGAUGUAAGCUGGGUUUUCAAUUGCUCCACUUUAAGAACAAAAAUUAAAAAAAAUCUCAUGAUUUGUUUUUAUUGUAAUUGCAAGUAUAUGCAACCUGAUUAAGUAUUGAAAUAAUACACAUAACAGUUGCUG